UCUGAGCAGCCUGUGCCUGCAGGACCUGCACUGCCCACAGGAUUUCAGCAGAGCUUUGGGGAGGCUGUCUCCAGGGCCUACGAAAUCAAAACACCCAUGUGAUCCUUAGGCAAGCUUAUUUCUUGUGCAAAGGCUGAAUGGCUGAAUCAACCCUGCAGUGAUUGGGACCCAGCUGUUUUCAGUGCAGGGUCCUGUUCCCCCUGCUCUGUCUUGCCCUUUGCCUCUUUUCUUGAGCCAGUUCAACUGGUUAACUCAAAAGAGAAUUAUCCAACUUCCUGGUUAUUUUCCUCCAAGUCAAGGGGGUGAAUUGACUGAUGGUGGUAUCUGAAGAGCACUGCAGUUGGCAA